rnacentral:tRNA from 1 species
UAGGAGAAUAGCUCAACGGUAGAGCUUUGGUUUUCAAAACCAAUGGUUGGAGGUUCAAAUCCUUCUUCUCCUGA